UUCGUGUUGGAGAGCAUGCAACACGUUGCCUAAAAAGAAGAAAGAAUGAAAUAAUGGAGAAAGGAAAAAAAUAGAAAAAGGGAUGUAGGAAAGGAAGAAGAAAAAAAGAAAGAGACGAGAGAUGAAGAAUCAGAAACAAGCAAGAAAGAAAAAACAAGAUACAGUAAUGAUGAUGAAAUAGGGAUGAGAGUGGCGAGACAAAAAAUUGGUAGGAAGAAAGAGAUUUAAGGCGAAUGAUGAGACGCAAUAAAUGCAAGAGCCGAAAGAUGAGAGAAGGAAGAAGCUGGAUAGAGCUGAAAGACGAAAGAGGAGAUUCGAGAGAUGGGAAACGAGACAGACGUAUAUAAUUCAAGAUACAGUAAUGACGUAAAAGGGUUGAUACAGGCGAGUCAAGAUAUUGGAAGUAAGAAAGAGACGUCAGACGAGUGGUGAGACAAGAUAGAGGCGAGAGAUGAGAGAGGAAAGAAUUGAGAUAGAUGCGAAAGACAAGAGAGGAAAGAUAAGAGACUAGAAAGUGAUAUUGGUGAGAAAGCAGUGAUGAGCGAUGAGAAAACGAGAAAGAGGCAAGACAGACAGGAA